rnacentral:sRNA from 1 species
UGGAAGCGUUAUCAACACCUACGGAACC